GAUGAAGAACGCAGUGAAAUGCGAUAAGUAAUGUGAAUUGCAGAUUUCAGUGAAUCAUCGAAUCUUUGAACGCACCUUGCGCCUUGUGGUAUUCCACAAGGCAUGCCCGUUUGAGUAUCAUUAAAUCAUCAACUCUAAAACCUUUGUGGUUUUUUUAGAGCUUGGUCUUGAGGGUUUUGCAGGCUUUUUUUUUCGAGUCUGCUCCCUUUAAAUGCAUUAGCGAGACUUCCCUAUGCUGAACCGUCUCUUUGACGUGAUAAUUAUCUGCGUCGAAUUUUGGUUCUCGUUGGGCUUGCUUCUAAUCGUCUGUUAAAGACAAAACGGAUUUGGGUGCAUAUAUGCGCCUUUUUCCAAAACCUUUUUUGAUCUCAAAUCGGGUAGGACUACCCGCUGAACUUAAGCAUAUCAAUAAGCGGAGGA
rnacentral:misc_RNA from 1 species